GAUGAACGCUGGCGGCGUGCUUAACACAUGCAAGUCGAACGAUGAAGCCCAGCUUGCUGGGUGGAUUAGUGGCGAACGGGUGGGUAACACGUGAGUAACCUGCCCUUAACUCUGGGAUAAGCCUGGGAAACUGGGUCUAAUACCGGAUAGGAGCGUCCACCGCAUGGUGGGUGUUGGAAAGAUUUAUCGGUUUUGGAUGGACUCGCGGCCUAUCAGCUUGUUGGUGAGGUAAUGGCUCACCAAGGCGACGACGGGUAGCCGGCCUGAGAGGGUGACCGGCCACACUGCGACUGAGACACGGCCCAGACUCCUACGGGAGGCAGCAGUGGGGAAUAUUGCACAAUGGGCGCAAGCCUGAUGCAGCGACGCCGCGUGAGGGAUGACGGCCUUCGGGUUGUAAACCUCUUUCAGUAGGGAAGAAGCGAAAGUGACGGUACCUGCAGAAGAAGCACCGGCUAACUACGUG
rnacentral:rRNA from 1 species